CGUAAUAGUUCAGUAAUUUGUGGAUUGACGAAUGUAACCUAAAAACUCAAAUUUAGCACGAGAUCACGAGAAAAAUAUAUAUAAUAACAAAAGUAUUUAAAGAAUAAUCAACUAUGAGGCGUAUACAACAAGGGGGCUUUUCCGGGACCAGGGACCCCGAGGAAGAAAAAAAGAGGAGCCGGGAAUCGGUUAUUGCAAAUUUGGUUAUAUUUGGAGCAUUCAUCGCUGUUAUCCGCGUUUUGCCCUUCAUCGUCCAAAAUAUAUCGAACUAGGAAAUGGAACUUUCCGAGACUGCAUACUAAGUAUGAUGGCGUCAUUUGAAGAAUGUGAUAACAUUUUUGUACAAUUUACAUUAUUUGUAAAAUUACUUGUGUAGUUAAAAAUUUCUUAUGCAAUAGAUGGGAUUCGUGUUGCCAUAAGUGA